rnacentral:rRNA from 1 species
CAGCAGCCGCGGUAAUACGAAGGGGGCUAGCGUUGUUCGGAAUUACUGGGCGUAAAGCGCACGUAGGCGGAUAUUUAAGUCAGGGGUGAAAUCCCAGAGCUCAACUCUGGAACUGCCUUUGAUACUGGGUAUCUUGAGUAUGGAAGAGGUAAGUGGAAUUCCGAGUGUAGAGGUGAAAUUCGUAGAUAUUCGGAGGAACACCAGUGGCGAAGGCGGCUUACUGGUCCAUUACUGACGCUGAGGUGCGAAAGCGUGGGGAGCAAACAGGAUUAGAUACCCCUGUAGUCCCUGUCUCUUAUAC